rfam:Corchorus olitorius cultivar O-4 contig18362, whole genome shotgun sequence.
AUGUGCCUGGCUCCCUGUAUGCCAUUUGCAGAGCCCCACCGAACAUCGAUGGCCUCCGUAUAUGGCGUAUGAGGAGCCAAGCAUAU